GCGCACGUGGCGAAAUUGGUAGACGCGCUAGGUUGAGGGCCUAGUGGGAUUUAUCCCUUGGAGGUUCAAGUCCUCUCGUGUGCACAA
rnacentral:tRNA from 1 species